rnacentral:rRNA from 1 species
GAUGAACGCUUGCUACAGGCUUAACACAUGCAAGUCGAGGGGAAACGACAUCGAAAGCUUGCUUUUGAUGGGCGUCGACCGGCGCACGGGUGAGUAACGCGUAUCCAACCUGCCCAUCACUUGGGAAUAACCUUGCGAAAGUAAGACUAAUACCCAAUGAUAUCCCACGAAGGCAUCGGAAUGGGAUUAAAGAUUUAUCGGUGAUGGAUGGGGAUGCGUCUGAUUAGCUUGUUGGCGGGGUAACGGCCCACCAAGGCAACGAUCAGUAGGGGUUCUGAGAGGAAGGUCCCCCACAUUGGAACUGAGACACGGUCCAAACUCCUACGGGAGGCAGCAGUGAGGAAUAUUGGUCAAUGGGCGAGAGCCUGAACCAGCCAAGUAGCGUGCAGGAAGACGGCCCUAUGGGUUGUAAACUGCUUUUAUAAGGGAAUAAAGUGGGUCACGUGUGACUUUUUGCAUGUACCUUAUGAAUAAGGACCGGCUAAUUCCGUG